rnacentral:tRNA from 1 species
GAAGGUAUAGCUCAGUGGCAGAGCACAUGCUUAGCAUGCACAAGGUCCUGGAUUCAAUCCCCAGUACUUCCA